ensembl:snRNA U2 U2 spliceosomal RNA
AUUGCUUCUCGGCCUUUUGGCUAAGAUCAAGUGUAGAGUUCAUAAGAAGUAUGAAAGCUACCAGUCACUAUCUAAAUAAAAUUGUAUUACAAAAGAAAAUAUUUUUAGGUCCCUGAAGCUAGCUACUAGUAUCAUUUAUUAGUAUGGAUUACUAGAUUGCUA